GAUGAACGCUGGCGGCGUGCCUAAUACAUGCAAGUCGAGCGAACGGACGAGAAGCUUGCUUCUCUGAUGUUAGCGGCGGACGGGUGAGUAACACGUGGAUAACCUACCUAUAAGACUGGGAUAACUUCGGGAAACCGGAGCUAAUACCGGAUAAUAUUUUGAACCGCAUGGUUCAAAAGUGAAAGACGGUCUUGCUGUCACUUAUAGAUGGAUCCGCGCUGCAUUAGCUAGUUGGUAAGGUAACGGCUUACCAAGGCAACGAUGCAUAGCCGACCUGAGAGGGUGAUCGGCCACACGGGAACUGAGACACGGUCAAGACUCCUACGGGAGGCAGCAGUAGGGAAUCUUCCGCAAUGGGCGAAAGCCUGACGGAGCAACGCCGCGUGAGUGAUGAAGGUCUUCGGAUCGUAAAACUCUGUUAUUGGGGAAGAACAUAUGUGUAAGUAACUGUGCACAUCUUGACGGUACCUAAUCAGAAAGCCACGGCUAACUACGUG
rnacentral:rRNA from 1 species